UACGUAGGGAGCUAGCGUUGCUCGGAAUCACUGGGCGUAAAGCGCACGUAGGCGGCUUUCUAAGUCAGGGGUGAAAUCCUGGAGCUCAACUCCAGAACUGCCUUUGAUACUGGGAAGCUCGAGUCCGGAAGAGGUGAGUGGAACUCCGAGUGUAGAGGUGAAAUUCGUAGAUAUUCGGAAGAACACCAGUGGCGAAGGCGGCUCACUGGUCCGGUACUGACGCUGAUGUGCGAAAGCGUGGGGAGCAAACAGG
rnacentral:rRNA from 1 species